rnacentral:lncRNA from 1 species
UUUCAUAUAUAAGUGACAGGAUAACAUGUGGACAACCAUGGAAUAGCUAAAACAAUUAGUUGAGUGUUAGUUUAGAUAUACUUGGAGGUCCUUCAGCAUCAUACUCCUGCAUGUAGUCAGACAGCUCCUCAUUUUAGUCUAAUUAGACAUAGGAGCAAUUUGAGAACAUGCUUAACAAAUGGAUGGAGUAGCGCUUGUAGGCAGAGACUGUUAAGAUAAAGGCACGAGUUAUAGGCCAGCAACUCAGAUGAUAGCCUAGAUUCUUCGCUUGUUUCAAACUUGGAAAUGUUCAAGGGGC